GUCCAUCCAAUUCAAAUUAAUUCACAGUCCGACCAUUUACGAUUCAAUAGAUUCAACCGGAUUAUCCAAUCCGAUUCCAACAACUAUAAUCCUCUUAUCUAUUUUGAAAUAUUCUAAAUUUAAAAAAAAAAAGUUAAAAGUCCCAACAAUUUGGCUUAUCUGUUCUACUUGAGUCUAUAAAACAAAGGAAAGAAAUCCUCUUAGUUCAAUGGCUUCCCCCAUUAAAACAAUAUUCAUCGUGUUCAUCACCAUCUUCUUCUCGUCAACUUUGGGUCUCAACAUUUCUUCAACAAAUUCUCUAAGCCCAAAUCUCACUUCCAUACAAAGCAUCUGCCAAUCCACUCCAUACCCAGAUUCUUGUUUCGAUUCAUUGAAGCUUUCCAUUUCAAUAAACAUCAGUCCCGACAUACUCACUUACUUACUCCAAACCCUCCACUCUGCACUAUCCGAAGCUACAAACUAACGAAUCUCUUCUCCAAUGGCGGAAACAGCAACGAUAUUGUGGAAAAACAAAGAGGGACACUGCAAGACUGCAAAGAGCUCCAUGAAACCACACUAUCUAUAUUGGAGAAAACAGUGUCAAGCAUCAAAGAUGGGGAUUCAAAGAAGCUAGCCGAUGCAAGAGUUUACCUUAGUGCAGCAUUAACAAACAAGAACACAUGUUUAGAAGGGUUGGAUUCAGCUUUGGGUCCAUUGAAGCCGGUUAUGGUGAAAUCAUUGAUUGGUACUUGUAAGCACGUUAGUAACUCUCUUUCUAUGCUUCCUAAGUUG
rnacentral:lncRNA from 1 species